rnacentral:rRNA from 1 species
UACAGAGGGUGCAAGCGUUAAUCGGAUUUACUGGGCGUAAAGGGUGCGUAGGUGGCUUUUUAAGUCGGAUGUGAAAGCCCGGGGCUUAACCUCGGAAUUGCAUUCGAUACUGGGAGGCUAGAGUUCGGUAGAGGGCGGCGGAAUUCCCGGUGUAGCGGUGAAAUGCGUAGAUAUCGGGAGGAACAUCAAUGGCGAAGGCAGCCGCCUGGGCCUGGACUGACACUGAGGCACGAAAGCGUGGGUAGCAAACAGG